GAAUUGAUCAUCAUGAAACAUUUCACCAUUAGCAUCAAGGUUUUCUGCAGGAUCCUGCUGGAAUGAUUCUUUUCUGGCAGCAUCUGAUUGCAAAGAGAAUUCUUGUUCUAGGUUGAUUGCAGGUCCAUCUGAAAAGAACCUGAAUCUCUCCCAGCAAACUUAUUUGAAGAAUCUAUGUAAGGGGUCUGGAAAGAAUAUAAUGUCUUGACUGAAGAGCUUUUGCUUUCAUUCAUUCUGCUCAUUGACGUCCCACAAUCAGGAGUAGCAGUAAUAUAAGAACUUGAUUCCCUCUCCAUUGGUGAUUGGCUGAGCAAAGAACGCCUGUUGCAUGAAAUUAGUUAGUUUAUAUAACCUGCAACUUCACCGCAACUGAAGGCUCAAAAAUGAAUUCAAAAGAUACAGAUGGUUAUUUGACAAGAUGAUGACUUCUGAAGACACGAAGAAGAGACCUAAAAGUUAUGCAUGGACCAAGAUUCCUGUAGACUGCUCAGUAGUUAAAAAGGAAGUAAAUGGAUGUUUACAGAAAGUAACCGAACGUUUGAGUUUUUGUUUAACAGCAAGGAAGUCCAAAUCAUGAACAAUGGAACAACAACGGACAUCAGCAUUGGCAUCUUUGCUCGAACUUGAUCACAUUAUUCUUUUAUUAAAUUAUAAUUAUGUACAUACAAAAUAAGAUUAUGCACUGUGAUGGUAAUUUGCACAGAAAUCUUUCCCCUUAA